rnacentral:rRNA from 1 species
CCUACGGGGGACAGCAGUGGGGAAUAUUGGACAAUGGGCGAAAGCCUGAUCCAGCCAUGCCGCGUGUGUGAAGAAGGCCUUCGGGUUGUAAAGCACUUUCAGUGGGGAAGAAAGCCUUGGGGCUAAUACCCUCGAGGAAGGACAUCACCCACAGAAGAAGCACCGGCUAACUCCGUGCCAGCAGCCGCGGUAAUACGGAGGGUGCGAGCGUUAAUCGGAAUUACUGGGCGUAAAGCGCGCGUAGGCGGUCUGAUAAGCCGGUUGUGAAAGCCCCGGGCUCAACCUGGGAACGGCAUCCGGAACUGUCAGGCUAGAGUGCAGGAGAGGAAGGUAGAAUUCCCGGUGUAGCGGUGAAAUGCGUAGAGAUCGGGAGGAAUACCAGUGGCGAAGGCGGCCUUCUGGACUGACACUGACGCUGAGGUGCGAAAGCGUGGGUAGCAAACAGGAUUAGAUACCCUGGUAGUC